rnacentral:rRNA from 1 species
UACGAAGGGGGCUAGCGUUGCUCGGAAUCACUGGGCGGAAAGCGCACGUAGGCGGAUUGUUAAGUCAGGGGUGAAAUCCUGGAGCUCAACUCCAGAACUGCCUUUGAUACUGGCGAUCUUGAGUCCGGGAGAGGUGAGUGGAACUGCGAGUGUAGAGGUGAAAUUCGUAGAUAUUCGCAAGAACACCAGUGGCGAAGGCGGCUCACUGGCCCGAUACUGACGCUGAGGUGCGAAAGCGUGGGGAGCAAACAGG